rnacentral:rRNA from 1 species
GAUGAACGCUGGCGGCGUGCCUAAUACAUGCAAGUCGAGCGAACGGACGAGAAGCUUGCUUCUCUGAUGUUAGCGGCGGACGGGUGAGUAACACGUGGAUAACCUACCUAUAAGACUGGGAUAACUUCGGGAAACCGGAGCUAAUACCGGAUGAUAUUUUGAACCGCAUUGUUCAAUAGUGAAAGACGGUCUUUCUGUCACUUAUAGAUGGAUCCGCGCUGCAGUAGCUAGUUGGUAAGGUAACGGCUUACCAAGGCAACGAUGCAUAGCCGACCUGAGAGGGUGAUCGGCCACACUGGAACUGAGACACGGUCCAGACUCCUACGGGAGGCAGCAGUAGGGAAUCUGCCGCAAUGGGCGAAAGCAUGACGGAGCAACGCCGCGUGAGUGAUGAAGGUCUUCGGAUCGUAAAACUCUGUUAUUAGGGAAGAACAUAUGUGUAAGUAACUGUGCACAUCUUGACGGUACCUAAUCAGAAAGCCACGGCUAACUACGUG